rnacentral:rRNA from 1 species
GACGAACGCUGGCGGCGUGCCUAAUACAUGCAAGUUGAGCGCUGAAGGUUGGUACUUGUACCAACUGGAUGAGCAGCGAACGGGUGAGUAACGCGUGGGGAAUCUGCCUUUGAGCGGGGGACAACAUUUGGAAACGAAUGCUAAUACCGCAUAAAAACUUUAAACACAAGUUUUAAGUUUGAAAGAUGCAAUUGCAUCACUCAAAGAUGAUCCCGCGUUGUAUUAGCUAGUUGGUGAGGUAAAGGCUCACCAAGGCGAUGAUACAUAGCCGACCUGAGAGGGUGAUCGGCCAAAUUGGGACUGAGAAACGGCCCAAACUCCUACGGGAGGCAGCAGUAGGGAAUCUUCGGAAAUGGACGAAAGUCUGACCGAGCAACGCCGCGUGAGUGAAGAAGGUUUUCGGAUCGUAAAACUCUGUUGGUAGAGAAGAACGUUGGUGAGAGUGGAAAGCUCAUCAAGUGACGGUAACUACCCAGAAAGGGACGGCUAACUACGUG